rnacentral:rRNA from 1 species
GAUGAACGCUGGCGGCGUGCCUAACACAUGCAAGUCGAGCGAACCCUUCGGGGUGAGCGGCGGACGGGUGAGUAACGCGUGGGUAACCUGCCCUAUACACCCGGAUAACGUACCGAGAGGUACGCUAAUACGGGAUAAAGUUGUUGGAUGGCAUCUUCUAACAAUCAAAGCUCUGGCGGUAUAGGAUGGACCCGCGUCUGAUUAGCUGGUUGGUGGGGUAAUGGCUCGCCAAGGCGACGAUCAGUAGCCGACCUGAGAGGGUGAUCGGCCACACUGUAACUGAGAAAAGGUCCAGACUCCUAAGGGAGUCCGCAGUGCGAAAUAUUGCACAAUGGGCGAAAGCCUACUGCUGCACCGCCGCGUGAGCCAUGAAGGUCAUCGGAUCGUAAAGCUCUGUCCUCAAGGAAGAUAAUGCCGGUACUUGAGGAGGAAGCCGCGGCUAAGUACGUGCCAGCCGCCGCAGUAA